rnacentral:lncRNA from 1 species
UGUGGGAUCUUCGAUUUUGGCCUGAAGGCUUCGUCUGGUGGCAGGCUUAGCACCUUUUUUCUGUAAGAUUUUUCUCUUCUUCUUUGAUGGGCUCGAGCACUUUUUAGCAUCCAACUCUGUGAUCGUGGUGAUCAAAUUAUAAGACCAAUAGAGCUAGAAGAUUUAAGACCAAAAUAACUGACUCAUGUACCUUAAGGAGCGACUUGGCUGAUACCGGCAUUAAACAGCGCUUGAGCCAACAGCAACUCUUUUAAC